rnacentral:lncRNA from 1 species
UUGCACAAUCACCCCUGCAUUUUUCGCCCGACUGACGCGCACACCAGCUGACAGGAGCAUUACGUUCCGCGAAAUCCCCCGAGACAAAAUCUUAAUCCGUAGCAGUAGUACUGCCCCGUACACAUCUUAAAUCAUCCAUGACUUUCAGUCACCAGGAGGACAUGUACACGCUACAACACUACACCCUGAUCGAACACGUACCACGACGACGACCCACGCGAAAUUAUUACCUAGACCCGUUCCAUUGGCACAUCGCCGGCUGGCCCAAUGAUCCAUGGAACAACGGGUCUACGUGAUAAUUCCAUUUUGAUCAACUCACACGUACUGUCACACACACUCGAUCACACGUACGAAAUUAAGAACAAGAACACGCAAGCAAUGCAAGUAGAGGGCUAGCUCGAUCGCGGCGACGACCGGUUGUAGUGGAGGGGCUAGCUUUUGGAAUUUUGAUUAGCUAGAGCGUCAUGGCGACCACGGCCAGGUCAGCUAGCUAGCUCGGCUCCGGCCGGCGACACGCGCGCGAGGUAAGAGUGGUCGUCAGCCGCGAUGCUUGCCCUUGCUCUUGCCGGCGCCGGCUUGGCGCGGGUCGGCGGCCGCGUCGUUGAAGUCGAGGAGCACGGUGCUGUGGCACUUGGGGCACUUGGGGUCCUCCCGCGACAGCAUCACGUACAUCAUGCACCGGGGGCACCCGGCCAGGAUCAUCCCGGACGCGCCGCCGCCAGCUUCCGGGCUCCCCUCCGACGACACGCACGAGCUUGGCGGCGAAGGCGUCGUCGUGGACGACGACGACGACGACGACAGCCUCCUCGGCGGGCUGCUCCC